rnacentral:rRNA from 1 species
GUGGCAGCCGCCGCGGUAAUACGUAGGGUGCAAGCGUUAAUCGGAAUUACUGGGCGUAAAGCGUGCGCAGGCGGUUAUGCAAGACAGAGGUGAAAUCCCCGGGCUCAACCUGGGAACUGCCUUUGUGACUGCAUGACUAGAGUACGGUAGAGGGGGAUGGAAUUCCGCGUGUAGCAGUGAAAUGCGUAGAUAUGCGGAGGAACACCGAUGGCGAAGGCAAUCCCCUGGACCUGUACUGACGCUCAUGCACGAAAGCGUGGGGAGCAAACAGGAUUAGAUACCCUUGUAGUC